AAACUUGCACGGCAGGGUAGAUUCCUUGACCAGGAAGGUGGUUUUCCCAGGGUGAGGCUUUGCUGCUUCCCUCCAGGUGUGCUGACCUCUGUGAUUUCCCCCAACGUGAGACACUCGGGCGCAUCAUCUGAGGUAUUGGGGAACUGCAUUUGAAUUCUCUCCUU